GUGGGCGAAAGAGGCAAUAAACUGAGCUGCGGCCAGCGAGUGAGACUGGCACUUGCCCGCGUUCUUAACCGACAGCCGCGUGUCCUACUCGUCGAUGAUCCGCUAAAACAACUGGGAGCAGCGGCAGGAGACACUUCGUUGCAGGAUGUGCUGCAAGCCCUCAGAGGCAAAGUUACAAUUUUUGUCACAGUCCGGAGUCUGGAAACAGCCAAGGCCUGCGACAGAAUAUACGUUCUGGAAAAAGGAACCGUCGUACAGGAAGGAGACCAUGAGUCUCUGAUGCAAGAAGAAAGCGGGGCAUACCGUUCCCUAAUCCUAACAGAAACGAUGCUCCACAUGUGACCUCCGGUCAAAGGCUCGAACAUGACCUUCAUUCGCUCACAGCUUUCAUCGAUUGCCCGACCGCGUGAUUCGACCACAGCACAUGUCUGCCCAGAGGUGGCGGAAAACAGCUACUGUCGAAGUCGUGGUAGCUUGAGAAUGGGCUGAAGGUGCAACAACACUUUUCCGAGUUACAUUUAGUAAGGGGAUACACAUGGGAGGCAUAACGCUUGAGUGCGUCCCUGGUGCCGACAGCCCGCGACGCAACAAUCCUCCAGUUAGCGUUUCAUCUGUGUUGCUUCCAAUAUUUGUUUGUAUAUUGUCCCCCGGCGAUUGAUGCCCGGCGGGACCGUAUCGGUUUCUGUAUCUAUUUGCUAGUAUGUAGUGCCGAGAUGCCAUGAGACACUGAAGUAUGCAACUGUUCUUGGAUCCCAUUUCUUAAGAAUUCUGGCGUGUCAGUAGCGUCUCGAAUAGCAUAUUCCGUG
rnacentral:lncRNA from 1 species